rnacentral:tmRNA from 1 species
GGGGCCGACCGGUUUCGACAGCGAGCAGAGUGAGUAAGUAAGCAGGUCGAGCAUUGAGUGAGGAGCUCGAUAACAACAACACUAAACUUUCGCUAAACGGCGACAAUAAUUACGCGCUUGCGGCUUAAUACUCGAUAGAGAUUAAACCUAAUCCAUCUCGAUAAAUCGAGAGGACAAGCUAUCUUGCAGGGGUUCCGCUCAUUAAUACCCUGAUUACAAGGUAUCAGAAUUAUGAGAUAGUUAGUAGGAAGCCUUGACUUAUUAAUGAAACUUAAAAGGCUAAGCAAUAAAUAGGUAGUUAAAGGCCAGUUUAUUGUCGAAAACCUAAGCUUUUACUAAGCCUGUAGAAAGCUUAUUGAUUCCUCGUUUGGACGAGGGUUCGAAUCCCUCCGGCUCCAC